UACGUAGGGUGCAAGCGUUGUCCGGAAUUAUUGGGCGUAAAGAGCUCGUAGGCGGUUUGUCGCGUCUGCUGUGAAAACUCGGGGCUAAACCCCGGGCCUGCAGUGGGUACGGGCAGACUAGAGUGCGGUAGGGGAGACUGGAAUUCCUGGUGUAGCGGUGAAAUGCGCAGAUAUCAGGAGGAACACCGGUGGCGAAGGCGGGUCUCUGGGCCGUAACUGACGCUGAGGAGCGAAAGCGUGGGGAGCGAACAGG
rnacentral:rRNA from 1 species